rnacentral:lncRNA from 1 species
CCCGGCUUCCUCCACUGUCUGCAUAGAAACACAGAUAGGCACUGGAUGGUACCUGCCUCAUGCUUUGGAAGCAGUCUCAAAGGAGAUACUAAGACUCACUGGACAGCUAAGUUUGAGAGUGGCUGAGGCUUCCAGGAUGAUGUGAAGAUAGCACUUGGUCAUUCACCACCCGCC